rnacentral:lncRNA from 1 species
AGGCGCGGUGGGAGCCACAGCUUCUUCCGGCUUUCGCUUUGCCCUCAGGGGCUGUUUGCGGUGAAAUGGCGCGUGGGGUGUACCUCGAGCCUCAGCAGGAAGGGAAGGUCGCCUGGGCGAUCGGCUGAGAAAGUGGGGUGAAUCGGCGAGAUGUUGGUGCGGGUCGAGCGUGGCAUUUUCGCCUUCCCGCCUUUUGCGAACUCCUGGCUGCACGCAAGGAAAGCAGACGCCGCAGAGACCCUGGGGGAGAGAAAACAGUACUCCAUUUCCGAGGACCAUGAGGAGGAGGUGCUGGAAUGGCUGAGGGAGAACAAGUACCUGUGGAGGAAGGUGAGGAAGGGCCACAAGACUCUUAUCGGACACAAAUGAAAGCAGGCGCUGGAGAGAGAAGG